UUUGAUGCUUGGGGCUAGAAAGACUGACCUUGUAGCCCCUCACCUUCUCUCCCCAAUGCACUGGGCUGGUUCAGCAGCUGACCAAUGAGGGUCAUGCUUGCAUACUGGCCUUGGGUGAGUGGCUCAGGAACAGUUUGCAAGACCGUGUUGAAGCUACUUGUAACUAGACCAUUUUCCCAGCUUGACCAUGAGCUUCUUCAAGGCAUCUCUUCUCAGUCUCCACUGUAGCUCUCUUGCGGUGGUGAGGUGAUGGCAGCCAUGGACACAGGCCAGAGAGCUGACCCAAGCAAUCCUGGUGACAAGGAAGGGGACCUUCAAGGGCUGUGGCAGGAACUCUACCAGCUCCAGGCUAAAUACCUUCUUUGCUGCCUGGGAGAUGCUGCUAUGGGCGUUUAUUUGAUCUGCUUGUGGCUCAGUUUGCUCAGCAGUGAAAUGAAGGUGCAGAGACUCCUAAGUCUAUGGCCAACUGAUAAAGUG
ensembl:lncRNA CCDC197 coiled-coil domain containing 197